ensembl:lncRNA
GGCACACAGGGAACGCGCUUCCGCUGCAAUCUUUGUGACCUCGCUACACGGUUGCUCUCCGUGAGAAGAGAAGCUGUUUGUGUUAUCAACGUUUGUGUUAUCGUUCGUGGACGGUGGGAAACAGCUUUGCUAGGAGCUUUAAACAAGGAUGCCCUUUACUCGAAAACGACGUGGGCUUAACUUUGGGUAUUGGAGCCUAUUUUUAAUCGUGACGUCGAAAAAACGAAGCUUAUCAGCAGCUUUCACCGUCUUCAUGUUUGCUGACGUGUGGGAUCAGGCACAAAGGAGCUGCUAGUAUGUUUUUAGAGCCUCUGCAUGUCGGGGAAGGAGGAAGAGGGCGACUUUACUUGGUGUCAGAGACAGAAAUGAGAAAAAGCUGAAAUGAGUGAGAAGGACGAUGAAGGAAACAUCUGUGCUGUGUCUGCUCUAUGCAGCUGCAGUCGGCUCAGCAGUGAGAACUGAAGACGUCAGUCAAAGAGAAGGAAAAACAGUCAGAGCUGAGAGGUACAGCUGCUCUUCUUUUAGUACAAACACCAUAAAUCUGUUGCUCACAAUCAAACUUUAUUGUAUGUUUAAGUUUGUGUCACUUUUCAAACCAUCGUUACGAGUGCUUCCCAGAGACGAUGAGUGAAAGAGCAAAGAGUAAAUUAUGAAUCAAACUACGGCCACACAGACUCAAGCGUCAUGUGGUGAAUAACUUCCAACAGCUGGAUGAAUAAGAUGAGUUAAAGUUUAUAUAUUAGUCUUUAACAAGGAUUUAAAAGACGACACUGAUGAGGCGAGCCAGAUUUCUUCAGGCAGGUCGUCCCAGGAUCGAGGAGUCCUCACAGCAAACAUUCAGUCGUCUUUAAGUGUGAGCUGGGAACAGUGAACAGGUUUGUGGCUGCAGCAUCUCAGGAUGUACACACUGACUGGGACACAAGCACCAGUUCCACUAAAUAUUCUGGUGCCAGUAACCUGUUAAGAUGGAGCAAUUUGAUGUUAUUUAAUCAGUUUAUUUUUCAUCCUGCAGUUAAAAUGUAUCAAAACAAGAUUGUGUGUCUGCAGAUGCUGUGUGAUCUGACACACCUGCACAAAAUGUGUCAAAGUUCAAUAAGUUACAUUAUUGUAACUGUGAUGCGUUCACUGACGUGUCCUGAUGCUUUGCUGUAUAUAAAGAGAACAGAGAGGCUCUGCUUUGUGCUUAUAUUCUCCUCCUGUGUGUUUGUGUGUGCAGAGUUUCUACCAGAGCCAAAUGUCAUCUACUCCUCACUGAAGUCGUCCACCAGUCCAACCACUGGGAUCCAGCUGCUGCUCUCUAACUGGUCCAUACAGCAGCUCCCUGAGACAUCCUGGAGACUCGGACAAUCGUUGUCAGAAAGGAAAUCACUCAAAUAAGUCAAUAACUAAUCAGAGACGUCUGAUUAUCAGACAGUUACAAGGUUGAUGGUAACACAUUUUAUAUCCUUGGACUAAACUCAGUCUGCAUCUACAGGAUGGCUCUUAUUUCAUUAUUACUGACUUUUUAUCACCAUUUUAACCUCUGCUUUAUAACUAAAGUGCUCAGCAGCAAGUUUUCAUAAAGUCAGACUAAAGUGAAAGGAGUCAAAUACAAUCUCUUUGUGUUUAUUUAAAGUUCACAGAGGAAUGAAUCACUGUUUAUGUGAUGUUUGAUGUCACAGCUGUCUGUGUCACUGUGAGAGACAAUGAACAUAAAAAUAAACAUUAUUUAAAAUCUGAAUAUUAACACACAUUUAUGGAUGGUUUGUCACACAGAUUAAUAUCUUAUAAAUUUAUAUUUUUCACUAUUUUUCACAGGUACAAGUGUGUUUUGUAAUAUGAUGGAGAUCCUUUACUCCAUUAAUAAACAGCCUUCAUCUGCAAUGUGUCGGAUUUUACUUUCUGAGUGAAAUUGUUUUCAACACACAGUCACACGUUUAUGUUAGAGCACCCUCCACUGCGCAUGUCCAUUAGUGAUUCUCUUCACUGACCCACAGAUUUGAAAUCAGGAUGUCGCUCACAUAUAAAACAACAUGUGUCUCUGAGCAGCUUUUACCAACCACCAAAUUCAUGAGACUGUAAUACAUUUACUGAUGCUUGUUGCAGCUCUGUCAGCAGUCAGGGCUGCAGGUGGGUUGUUUUCACCAGAAGUGACCACUGCUACCAGAAAUAUCACGGUGUGAUGGGUAACAGGUGUGACGUCAACUCAAAGCAGAUGAUAGUUUAGGUGAUAUUCAUUUUAAAGGCAUUAUUUUUUUCAGGUUUUACUCUGAGGAAGUGAGUUUGUCAUUUGAUGCAACCAAGAUGAAGUGGUCUGUGCUGCCAUCUACUGACAUUAAAGUGCAACAACAGGCUGCCCACCUCUGAGUCUGCAGCUCUCAAGGUUUAAUGUUUCCACUUCACACAGGAUCAGGAGUGCUCAGCUCUUUACAAGAAAAUCUCUGUCACACACUGAACACCACAAAAAUAUACAAACAAGUUCACAAGUUUUAUUUCAUUACAAUCAUAUACACUCACUGGCCACAUUAUUAGGUACACCUUCCUAGUACUGAAUUUGGUCUUUUUUUUUUUUUUUUACUUUCAGAGUUGCUUUAAUUCUUCACAGCAGAUUCAACAAAGUGCUGCAAACAUUCCUCUGAUGUUUUGGUUCAUGUUGACGUGACAUUAUCACACAGCUGCUGCAGAUUUGUGAGCUCCAUGAUGCAACUUCAUCUCAAAGGUGGUUAGUUUGUACUGAACUUCAGCACCAAUGAACCCACAGAAAAAGUAAUUGUACAGUCAUCAUCCUCUCAGAGUGCAGACAGCCGUGACUCUCAGUUACUGACUCACACCUCAGUGCUCUGUGGAUGAGGUCAGCGCUCAGCCUACAAAUAUGCACAGUACACACUUUAAAUACAGAAGUCCUGUUUCUCAUCCAUCAGUCAUAACAUCAUCGUACACACUGAUGUCUAUAUCACAGCCAAUGUGGGCCACAAAAACAAAAGAAGAUGAAAUUCUGAGGCCACAUCUGGAGCACUUGCAAAGAGAUACAGAAAGACGUGGAGCCGGUACAAUUAUUUCCAAGAAAACAGCGAGAAAUGCAGUCAAAGAGCCAAGAAUGGACCAAAGUCACACCUGAGACAAGUUUCUCCGUGCAGGAGGAACGUUAAAACAAUCAUCACCAACAAAGGCUCAAAGGAUGUUCAAAGGAUUAAAAACAUUUUCAGUAAACAUGCUCAAUACUUUUGACAUUUCUUAUCAUUACAGAUAAUUUAUGGACAUCUAUGGUUUGAUUGCUUUGCAUGUGUGGAUUGGAUGUUGUUACCAACACCUGGUGAAAAUUUCAAUCACAGUAAUCAGCAGAGAUUUCCCACUGAAGCAUAAACUGCACUGACAUCAGUGACAAAGAUUUCUUUAAAAAACUAGAAAAACAAGCAUUUCAGUAAUCAGUCCUUCAGGAGAUGAAAACUGGAGUCGAGGUCUCUGUAUUGGCUUGAGAGAGAAACUGUUGCACUGUUGCAAAUGUGCAAAUGUUGCAAAUUAAAUGUGAAAAUUUAGUUUUAGAAUAUUUUUGACAAAAGUUUUAAAUGUGAAUUUCAAAUGUGAGUUCUGGAUCAAAUAAGACCUGAAGGUUUUUAACCUGCUCACACAGGUUUAGUGGAAGAGUCUGAAGUUUGUUAUGAAGUUUCUCUCUGAGCUUCAGAGCUGCUGAUUAAACCUCAGUUUUGUCCUGAGUGAGUUGGAGGAAGUUUGCUGCCAUCCAGGAAUUAAUAUGUAAGAUGCCGAGAGAUCUGACUGGCUCUGUGUCAUCAGGAGACACAACAACAUAAAGUUGUGUAUCAUCAGUGUACUAAUGUGUACUGAUUCUG